rnacentral:rRNA from 1 species
UACGUAGGGGGCAAGCGUUGUCCGGAAUCAUUGGGCGUAAAGAGCGUGUAGGCGGCCAGAUAGGUCCGUUGUGAAAACUGGAGGCUUAACCUCCAGCGGUCGAUGGAAACCAUUUGGCUAGAGUCCGGAAGAGGAGAGUGGAAUUCCUGGUGUAGCGGUGAAAUGCGCAGAUAUCAGGAAGAACACCCGUGGCGAAGGCGGCUCUCUGGGACGGUACUGACGCUGAGACGCGAAAGCGUGGGGAGCGAACAGG